rnacentral:rRNA from 1 species
GACGAACGCUGGCGGUGUGCUUAACACAUGCAAGUCGAACGGUAAGGCCCUUUCGGGGGUACACGAGUGGCGAACGGGUGAGUAACACGUGAGUAACCUGCCCUCAUCUCUGGGAUAACAGUCGGAAACGGUUGCUAAUACUGGAUAUGAGCUUGCAAGGCAUCUUGUGGGUUGGAAAGAUUUUUUUUGGUUGGGGAUGGACUCGCGGCCUAUCAGCUUGUUGGUGAGGUAGUGGCUCACCAAGGCUUCGACGGGUAGCCGGCCUGAGAGGGCGGCCGGCCACAUUGGGACUGAGAUACGGCCCAAACUCCUACGGGAGGCAGCAGUGGGGAAUAUUGCACAAUGGACGGAAGUCUGAUGCAGCAACGCCGCGUGCGGGAUGACGGCCUUCGGGUUGUAAACCGCUUUCAAUUGUGACGAAGCUUUUUUGUGACGGUAGCAGUAGAAGAAGCACCGGCUAACUACGUG